UACGAAGGGGGCUAGCGUUGCUCGGAAUCACUGGGCGUAAAGGGUGCGUAGGCGGGUCUUUAAGUCAGGGGUGAAAUCCUGGAGCUCAACUCCAGAACUGCCUUUGAUACUGAAGAUCUUGAGUUCGGGAGAGGUGAGUGGAACUGCGAGUGUAGAGGUGAAAUUCGUAGAGUAUUCGCAAGAACACCAGUGGCGAAGGCGGCUCACUGGCCC
rnacentral:rRNA from 1 species